UUCACCAAGUCAGACCAGGGUGGACUAGAAACAAAUCGAUCCAACCGACAAGUCAUCAAUCCUCCCACCGACUUCAUCAAGUCAUGUUGAGGAUAAAGAUAAAUCGAACUAGGGGCAACUAAAUCAGUCAAACUAAUUUUCUAGUAGGCAUGGAUCAAUCCUAAUCAUUAAGUGAUCUGAUCAAAACUUGAUUCACUAUAUUGGCCAGAUAAGUG
rnacentral:lncRNA from 1 species